CUAUCCUGGAGGCCCUGUGGGAGACAGGAGAGAUGAGGGGCUCCUUUAGAAGCUGCUGAGAACAUAGGAGAAGACAAGAAGGAAACCAACAGCUGGCUUAAUAUCUCCUGAGGCCAAACAGACAUGACACUUGCAGCAUGUGAGAGGGAAGCAGCUGUUGAGAGUUAAUGCCCAAUAUUCAUGAAGAUACCACCCUGAGAAAAAUUCUAACCAACAUCUUAGUCCUCACUAACAUCUGGCAUACUUCUCCUCAUAUCUGAUUUUGAUGAAGAGUUCAUGCAACAAAGUGAUGGAAAAUGCUGCUGGGAGCUUUGAGAGGAAGUCCCUCUCAUCAUCAUCAUCAUGUUGUUGUUAUUGUCGAAGUGGUGGUAUAUUUGAAUGUACAUUAAAAAAUCAAUGUUUCAUGG